rnacentral:misc_RNA from 1 species
AACGCACAUUGCGCCCCCUGUAUUCCGGGGGGCAUGCCUGUCCGAGCGUCAUUUCUGCCCUCAAGCACGGCUUGUGUGUUGGGCCCCGUCCUCCGAUCCCGGGGGACAGGCCCGAAAGGCAGCGGCGGCACCGCGUCCGGUCCUCGAGCGUAUGGGGCUUUGUCACCCGCUCUGUAGGCCCGGCGGGCGCUUGCGGAUCAGCCCAAAUUUUUAUCGAGGUUGACCUGGGAGCAGGUAGGGAAACCCGCCGAACUUAA